rnacentral:rRNA from 1 species
AGUGAACGCUGGCGGCGUGCUUAACACAUGCAAGUCGAACGAGAACGGGUUAUAGCUUGCUAUAAUUGUCAGCUAAGUGGCGCACGGGUGAGUAAUGUAUAGGUAAUAUGCCUCUUACUAAGGGAUAACAAAUGGAAACGUUUGCUAAUACCUUAUACUCCUUAUUAACAGAAGUUAAUAAGGGAAAGAUUUAUUGGUAAGAGAUUAGCCUGUAUUGUAUCAGUUAGUUGGUGGGGCAAUGGCUUACCAAGACUAUGACACAUAACUGGUUUGAGAGAAUGAUCAGUCACACUGGAACUGAGACACGGUCCAGACUCCUACGGGAGGCGGCAGUGGGGAAUAUUGCACAAUGGACGAAAGUCUGAUGCAGCAACGCCGCGUGGAGGAUGACACAUUUCGGUGCGUAAACUCCUUUUAUAUGAGAAGAUAAUGACGGUAUUAUAUGAAUAAGCACCGGCUAACUCCGUGCCAGCCGCCGCGGUAAAAC